GUAGAGUUUGAUCAUGGCUCAGAACUAACGCUGGCGGCGUGCCUAACACAUGCAAGUCGUACGAGAAAGUUGGCUUCGGCCAAUGAGUAAAGUGGCGCACGGGUGAGUAACGCGUGGAUAAUCUGCCUUCCAGCGGGGAAUAACCCACCGAAAGGUGGGCUAAUACCUCAUAACACUAUCCUUACUCCGGUGGGAUAGUCAAAGACGGCCUCUGCUUGCAAGCUGUCACUGGAAGAUGAGUCCGCGUACCAUUAGCUAGUUGGUAGGGUAACGGCCUACC
rnacentral:rRNA from 1 species